AUUGAACGCUAGCGGGAUGCCUUACACAUGCAAGUCGAACGGAGUGGCGAACGGGUGAGUAAUGUAUCGGAACGUGCCCAGUAGCGGGGGAUAACUACGCGAAAGCGUAGCUAACACCGCAUACUAUUGAACCGGCCGAUGUCGGAUGAGCUAGUUGGGGGGGUAACGGCUCACGUAGGCGACGUUCCGUAGCUGGAUUGAGAGGACGACCAGCCACACUGGAAGUGAGACACGGCGCAGACACCGACGGGAGGCAGCAGUGGGGAAUAUUGGAAAAUGGGGGAAAGCCUGAUGCAGCCAUCCCGCGUGUACGAUGAAGGCCUUCGGGUUGUAAAGCACUUUUGGCAGGAAGGCGGUACCUGCAGAAGAAGCACCGGCUAACUACGUGCCAGCAGCCGCGGUAAUAC
rnacentral:rRNA from 1 species